ensembl:snRNA LOC120094040 U4 spliceosomal RNA
AGCUUUGCGCAGUGGCAGUAUCGUAGCCAAUGAGGCUCAUCUGAGGUGCGAUUAUUGCUAAUUGAAAGAUUGUAUAGAUGUAUUUACAGGAAUGUUUUCUCUAUAUGUUUAUUUUAUUGAUCCCAUAGAUGAAAAAAUGUUUCAAGCCCUUAAGGAAGA